GAUGAACGCUGGCGGCAGGCUUAACACAUGCAAGUCGAGCGAGCGGCGGACGGGUGAGUAAUGUCUGGGAAACUGCCUGAUGGAGGGGGAUAACUACUGGAAACGGUAGCUACUACCGCAUACCAUCAGAUGUGCCCAGAUGGGAUUAGCUAGUCGGUGGGGUAAUGGCGCACCUAGGCGACGCUCCCUAGCUGGUCUGAGAGGAGGACCAGACACACUGGAACUGAGAAACGGUCCAGACGCCUACGGGAGGCAGCAGUGGGGAAUAUUGCACAAUGGGCGAAAGCCUGAUGCAGCCAUGCAGCGUGUGUGAAGAAGGCCUUCGGGUUGUAAAGCACUUUCAGCGAGGAGGCGUUACUCGCAGAAGAAGCACCGGCUAACUCCGUGCCAGCAGCCGCGGUAAUAC
rnacentral:rRNA from 1 species